UACAGAGGGGGCCAGCGUUAUUCGGAAUUAUUGGGCGUAAAGGGCGCGUAGGCGGCCAUGCGUGUCUUCCGUGAAAUCCCUCGGCUUAACUGAGGACGUGCGGAAGAAACUGCAAGGCUUGAGUCCGGGAGAGGGGGGUGGAAUUCCCAGUGUAGCGGUGAAAUGCGUAGAUAUUGGGAGGAACACCAGUGGCGAAGGCGGCUCACUGGCCCGGUACUGACGCUGAGGUGCGAAAGCGUGGGGAGCAAACAGG
rnacentral:rRNA from 1 species